rnacentral:rRNA from 1 species
UACGUAGGGUGCGAGCGUUGUCCGGAAUUAUUGGGCGUAAAGAGCUCGUAGGCGGCUUGUCGCGUCGGAUGUGAAAGCCCGGGGCUUAACUCCGGGUCUGCAUUCGAUACGGGCAGGCUAGAGUUCGGUAGGGGAGAUCGGAAUUCCUGGUGUAGCGGUGAAAUGCGCAGAUAUCAGGAGGAACACCGGUGGCGAAAGCGGCCUUCUGGCUCGCAACUGACGCUGUAGCGCGAAAGCGUGGGGAGCGAACGGG